rnacentral:rRNA from 1 species
GCCUACGGGGCGCAGCAGUAGGGAAUUUUCGGCAAUGGGGGGAACCCUGACCGAGCAACGCCGCGUGAACGAAGAAGUUAUUCGUAAUGUAAAGUUCUUUUAUCAGGGAAGAAAGAGGAAUUUGACGGUACCUGAGGAAUAAGCUCCGGCUAACUCCGUGCCAGCAGCCGCGGUAAUACGGGGGAUGCGAGCGUUAUCCGGAUUUAUUGGGUUUAAAGGGUGCGUAGGCGGCGCUUCAGGUCAGCGGUGAAAUACCGGGGCUCAACCCCGGGGCUGCCGUUGAAACCGGAGCGCUAGAAUUCCGA